UCCUAGGAUUAGGCUCCAAUCAGAGAGCAGCACUACUGAAAUAGAACUCCCAGGAGUGAGGGGCCGGUGCUGGACACUGUGUAGGGACGCGGGAAUGCAAAGUCAUACACAUGACUGUGACUGAUGCACUAUCCCCAGGACAUGGAGUAGCAUUUCCGGACCUACAGCAAGACGUUGGAUGAAGGCAUAGCCCCAGAAAUAACACUGGUCCUGUUCAUCAGUGAGGGGCGGUGCUGGACACUGUGUAGGGACACGGGAAUGCAAAGUCAUGCACAUGACUGUGACUGAUGCACUAUUUCCAGGACAUGGAGUAGCAUUUCGGGACCUACAGCAAGACGUUGGAUGAAGGCACAGGCCUAGGAAUCAUGCACAUACACAGAAACAUUUGCCCAAAUUAUAGAGGUAACCUCCUUUAGUUUGCCCAGAGGAAGGGCCAUACAGUAGCCAUGGAUUCCCUACAGGUUUCCUCCCCUCUGGAGGUUUUUCCUGUCCUGAGUAUUAGUUACUGUACGCUCUUUGUGAGUGAUGGGAGGUUACAAAAAAUCCCCUACACAAACAUUUUAAUAAAUAAUAAAUAAAGUUCCCCUUUUUUUAAACUGUUC